GGUAGCGUGGCCGAGUGGUCUAAGGUACUGGUUUUAGGCACCAGUCUCUUUGGAGGCGUGGGUUCGAAUCCCACCGCUGCCA
rfam:Stegodyphus mimosarum contig116368, whole genome shotgun sequence.